AUGGCGUCGCCGCCGCCGUGGUCCGACGACCUCCUAGGUCUCUUCGUCGCCGUCCUCGACGCGGUGUGCUCUUCCAGCUGGCGCUCCGUUGCUUCUCAGCCGCGUUCUUCGCCGUGGUCGGAACUCCCAGACGAGAUCCUAAAUCUGGUGAUGGCUGGCCUCCCUAACCUGGCAGAUCGCGGUCGAUUCCAGGCGGUGUGUCGAUCCUGGCGCGCCUCGGCUCCCCCUCCGCUGCAAGUGCCGUGGAUGCAGACGGUACUGCGUUCCUGGCAAGCGGUUUCCUGCCCCCUUCCGCGGCAGCGGCCUUGGAAGUGGAUUGACUCCGCGUGCCGCCGUCCGUCCGUCCCCUCACAUCUGCCGCAGCGGCCUUGGAUCGUGCUGCCCGGCGGCUUCUACAACCACGACGGUAUCUACACUUACAUCAGAGAGUGCACAGGACACGGGUCCGCCACUGGCAAACAGGAGUACACCCCGUUCAAACGCUCCAACAUCAACAGCUCCUUCCCCGACAGCCUGCGAUGCGUUGGCUCCACCGACAGCUGGCUCGCCCUCGACUACGCUGAUGAUAAGAACAAAAUUCAUACCUACUUCUUGCACAAUCCUUUCUCUAAGGAAGUUGUGGCUCUCCCCUAGCUGGAUGCCAUAGUCGGUAAUAGUUCCGAGUUAUUUCAGAUCCGCAAGGUGCUCAUCCGAUUGACCCCUGGUGACCAGCUCGUCGUUGUCAUGACCAACAAUUGGAACUAUCCUAUCAUCUUAAUCCGACCGGGAAAGGGCGCGUGGUUACCGAGGCCACAAGCAACCCCCUUCAUCAACAUUAUUGACAUCGUGCUCCUAGGAAACAGGCUCUACGGGAUCACCCAGGCAGAGGACCUCUUCUCCUUGAAUAUAAGCUUUAAUGCUGAUGGCUUACCCACAGUCACCAAUAUCAAGCACCACAUCAGAUCGGGCGAUGCUGAUUCCAGUGUGGAGAGCGACUUAGAUGAGGACCAAGACCAUUAUUGUGAGAACGAAGAGGAUCGGCUUCAGCGCAACUUGUAUGAAUUCAGGACAACUGGAGACAACAUGAUCACUGAUGGCAUCCUGUGUGAUGAGAUGACUUGUGCUCCCAAUGAUCACCUUGCCACAUUUUGGCACUUACUUGAGUCGUGUGGGAAGCUAAUCAUGGUGAAGCGUCAAUUGCAAUUUCCUAAAUGUUGUUAUGUCAAAUUCACUCGUAAGUUGGAGGUUUUUGAGGCAGAUUUCAGCGCACGCACAUGGUUGCCGGUGUCAGGUGGGCUAGGUGACCAAGCACUUUUCAUCAGCAAACGCUUCAGCAAGUCUGUUUCUGCUUUUGGAGAGAGAGAGGAGGAUGCUAUUUAUUUUAUCGAUACAGGUGAGGUGUUCAACAUAAAAUCCAAAACUCAAAGCCGGCCAGUAGAAAGAAGUGUCGAUUCCCGUUGGUCAACAUGGAUCUUCCCUCCAAGCUAG
rnacentral:rRNA from 1 species